ensembl:lncRNA
UUUCUCCCUCUUCUAGUUGAAAUCAAAGGAAAAGUUCACAGUUCUGAGUACAAAUGGGAGCACAAGGAGAGGAGCCAUCACAGCAAAGAAUUCAAGCGGGAUAAAGACUGCAGCAGCAAUCGAAAGUCAUUGCAUCGGCGUGACAGCAAAGACAGAGAACCAAAUGGCAUUGAAGCCUUAUCUCGACAUGACAGCAAAGACUGUGGAUAUAGUAAUGUUGAGCCAUUAGCCAGAAGGGACAGCAAGGACAGGGGAUAUAACUACCCAGAGCUGCCUCCCCGACAACAGAGCAAAGAUAGAGGAAGUAGCACUGAGGCACUGCCUCAACGAGAUAGCAAAGACAGGGGCUGCAAUAAUGCAGAACCUUUUGCCAGGCAUGACAGUAAAGACCGAGGUUGUGUUGGUCCAGAGCACUUGCCCAGACAAGACAGUAGAGACCUGCUAAGAAAUGGUCCAGACAGCAGAUGUGACAGCCGAGAGAAUGUUUGCUAUGGGAUAGACCUUCUUCCCAGACAUGAAAAUAAAGAUCUGGGUAGAACAGGCUUGGAACGUCAGCGGGAUAAAGAUGGUGGCAAGCAUGUCAUAGAAUCCAGUAAGGACAAGGAGAAAAGCAACAACAGUUCAGACAGCAGGAGGGGGAGCAAGGAAAGGAUCAACAAUGGCAAUGAUGUCAUUAGCAAAUGGGACUGCAAAGAUAGGGGAGUACACACAAAUGAGACUUUACCCUAUUAUGAUGAGAAAGAUAGAAGCGAUUAUAGCACAGAAUCCCCCAAAGCACAGGACAAAGAUGCAAGGCCUGGAUCUUUAGCCAUGGCAUCUGCCACUUGGUCUGGACCAUCCUCCAUGAGUCCAAAUAUAAUGUUGGGGAAUUCAAACUCUGGAACGUUCCUUGCAGAACUAAAGAUGGUUCCAAAGGCAGGAUGGUCUUCUUCCACAACAGUAGCACCAUCUCCAAAAGGCACACCUCAGAGACAGCUAGCUGAUGUCCAACAGGUACUGUCUUUAUCACUGUAC